AGGAGCGGCGGGAGAAGCACCAAGUGGCUGAAGCGGUUCAGGGAAUCUGGGACUUCUGGAAGCAAAAUAGCACCUUGAACAAGCCCGACCUGGAUCAGACAGAUCAUCCACUUGUGGGCAAAAUUGCGCCCUUACAGGUCCUUUGGGAAGAGGUCAUCACCCCUUGUGCUGUGAUGAAGAACCAGUUCAGCCCAGGCACCAAAGGAAGAAGCACCCCGGGGAAUGCCCUCCACAGCAGAGUGGCAGACGGUCACAGCCAGGACCAGAGCAGCACGCAGCAAACUAGUACCAGCUUCUCCAGUCCGACUGGUGAACAGAUCAAGAGAUCCAUGAUGAUCCAGAGGAGGAGGCGAUGAGUGCUUGUCAUAGGAGACUCCAUCCUGAGAGGUACGGAAGGACCCAUCUGUCGCCAGGACCCCUCGGCACGAGAGGUAUGCUGCCUCCCUGAAGCAAAGAUUCGGGACGUGACGGAGGUAAUCCAGGCCUGGAUCAAGCCCACCGAUUAUUACCCCAUGGUCCUAGUCCAUGUGGGUACUAAUGAUGCGGCCAGGAGAACCCCCGAUCACCUGAUGGCGGACUACUGU